rnacentral:miRNA from 1 species
UGAGUGUGUAUAUAUUGUGAGUGGGAGUGUGUAUAGACUUUCAUACACAUACACACACACACACACACACACACACACACACACACA